rnacentral:lncRNA from 1 species
AAAGGGACUUUCCAGCUAUCAGUACACUAUCUCACAAUUACCCUUGAACCAGAAGACAAUGAAUGAUUUGCUAAACAGAUGGCAUAGUCUAUGACAUGCAUCAUAUGUGUGAGCAAUCACAGAAGACUCCUUCCUGUUGCCUUGUGAAGAAGGCUCCUGCUUCCCCUUCACCUUCUGCGCGAUUGUAAGUUUCCUGAGGCCUCCUAGCCAUGCUUCUUGUUCACUCUGCG